UCUCCCGGAUGAACGUUGAAAAAAUUCCAACUCAAAACCUCAUGCAAAUAUAUGAGAGAGAGUAGAGAGAGAGAUAGAGAAAGAGAGAGAUUCACAUAAACAUAACACUCUAAAUGCUGCUAUUUGCUGAUUUUCUCAGUUCAAAUUGAAUAGAGCAACUAGCAACUGACUUCUUUUUUUCCGAACAUUGAAACCAUUGCAUAGCGAGCCUGACAGCCUAAAAACUCUAUCCCACUUGUAAAAAAACAAAAAAACAAACAGCUUGGUGGAGAAAGAAUUACAAUAAGAUGGCCGAUAGACAAUUAGUAGAAUCAUCAUCAUGGUUUUCAAAAUCUACAUCCUCUUCAAUCCUCCAACUCCAUAUCCGUGGUCUACCCUUCACUUUGAACAAGG